rnacentral:rRNA from 1 species
AUUGAACGCUGGCGGCAGGCCUAACACAUGCAAGUCGAGCGGAUGACGGGAGCUUGCUCCUUGAUUCAGCGGCGGACGGGUGAGUAAUGCCCAGGAAUCUGCCUGGUAGUGGGGGACAACGUUCCGAAAGGGGCGCUAAUACCGCAUACGUCCUACGGGAGAAAGUGGGGGAUCUUCGGACCUCACGCUAUCAGAUGAGCCUAGGUCGGAUUAGCUAGUUGGUGAGGUAAAGGCUCACCAAGGCGACGAUCCGUAACUGGUCUGAGAGGAUGAGCAGUCACACUGGAACUGAGAGACGGUCCAGACUCCUACGGGAGGGAGGAGUGGGGAAUAUUGGACAAUGGGCGAAAGCCUGAUCCAGCCAUGCCGCGUGUGUGAAGAAGGUCUUCGGAUUGUAAAGCACUUUAAGUUGGGAGGAAGGGCAGUAAGUUAAUACCUUGCUGGUUUGACGUUACCGACAGAAUAAGCACCGGCUAACUCUGUGCCAGCCGCCGCAGUAAGAC